CCUGGCUCUCCAGCUUGUCACUGGUAUUAUCUGGUCACAGUGGCUGCUGGUGGUCUGACUAGCUGGGGAUGUGGCUCCUUUGGGACCAGGAGCUCCUAGAAGCAGCACCUCCCAGAAGAAGCAGGGUUUUGCCAGUUGGGUAGGAAUGCAGACUCAGGAUGCACACAGGCUUGGGGUCAAAUCCCAGCUCUGUGACUUUCCUGCUGUGUGACCUUGGGAGGCGCUUCGGGGCUCUGAGCCGGUUUCCUCUUCUGAAAACCCGUAAUCAUAACUGCACCUCUUGCAGUGAGGAGGCAAUGUGGAACGCGGAGCCCACGUGUGCCCGGCACUUGGCAAGUACUGGGGAAGGGAUUAGGAAGGGCAGGAGUUACAUCACUCAUUUCUUUUUACAGCUGAGAAAACAAGCGGAGGAGGCUCAGGGAGGUAAGGCCGGUUGCCCAAGGUCACACAGCCCAGUAGGAGGAGGAUGGGGCCCCAGCGAGGCUGGCUGACUUGUGCUCUAAUCACUGAGCCCUCUGGCCGCAGGCCCGCCCGCCCAAGUACCUUUCCCUGUCUCCGUGGCCCGUGGACCCCGAAGGCUGCGUGGGGCCACGGGGACAAGUGGCAAGGCCGAGGCUGAGCCCACUGGGCCGGAAGGGUUAACGCGCUCCGCCGCAAUGGGCCGGCCUCCGGGGGAACCAGCCAAUGGGCACGCGCCGCGAUGAGCCUUACAGCCGCAGAAACCUCUGUGCUGGAGCCGAGUCUCAGGCGGCCCCGCGACCCUUAAGGUCUGCGGCAUAUGAACCUGAAGAGAGGUCCUGCCUCCUUUGAGCCUCAGUUUCCCCUUUUGCAAGAAGAUCGCUGAAGACGCGACUAGCUGGCCCUGGGGGACACCUCCAAAUCCUCCAGGACCAGAGUGUGUCUGACCAGGCCAGACCAGCUCAAGGAGGAUGAUGGAUGGAGGAGGACCUCAGCCACCAGUCACAGCCCUGGAAGUCUUGGACACACACACACACAUACCCACACAUGAAACCGCUGUGGAACCUGGAAGCAGCAUCUGGCCCCCUCCCCAAGGGAGCUGGGGCAGGUCGGUCCUCAUCUUCAGCUGCUCUUCCCUUCUGCAGAGUCAUUUUGAUUUUGCACCGACUCCUUCCUCACAGGUGUUCACACCUUCCACCCCAGCUAGAGAUGAAAGGAGGACACUCACCAUUCAGUACUCACCCAGGCCAUCCAUCGACAGAAACGUCAGAUAGCGCAUCCACGCCUGAUCACCUCUCUCGGCUGCUGGGGGAGCCCACACAAGCAGGCGCAUCGAUGAGCUCCCGGCCUGCCAACUCUGGGCCUGCCUCAGACUGAUGCAGCUGGGUGGUGGCUUCUCUGGACUUCGCUUGAAAGGCGUAGCCUGGACCUUGCCGGGAGCCAUGGGUGCAGAGCACGCACCUCUGGCCUCUAUCUUGAAACACUGGACUGUGGAUCUGAUGCUGGGAGUUCAGACUGGAAAAGGAGAAACAUAGGAACCAGCAGGCGAUAUAAGGCCAGCGGGGAUGGUCUGGGAGCAGUAACGGCGAAGAUCACGGAGGCCCACCGUCCUGCACUCCAAAUCCCUGGCUACAUAGGUUCAGAACUCAGAAUUUCCCCAGUUGUAGGAGGAAAGGAUUACACGUAGACCACAUAUCUCCUAACACCCCCAGUGAAGUGUGGGGCAGCCCCUGUAAUCAGACGUGUUACCAGGCCUGCGGCAAAGCCUACGAACAAAGACACAAAUCCUCUCUGAAGCUCAGUUUUCUCGUCUCUAACGUGGAGCAAUGGCUGUACCAGGCUCACAGGGUUGCCCUGAGAAUUUGAUGCUUCCCGUGAUACCGGCCAGCCCGCAGGAGACACAGGUUCUUGGCCUGCCCCGAGCCCUCUGGGGCACGUGCUGCUCCUUUCCGGAAUAUUCAUCCCUAGAUGUCUCAGGAGAUAGCUCUCUCACUUCCUUCAGGACCCGCCCCAGCAGGACUUGCCCUGUCUAUCCCCGUCUCCUCCCGCCCCUGUUCUCCUUUGUCUUCCUUCCCAACCUCUAUCAUUUGAAGUAUCACUUAAAUCAAUUACUCCCUUGUUAAUUGCCUGCCCUCCUGCAGUAGAUUCCAAGCUCCGUGUAGUCAGGACUCUGUGCUGUCGCCCACUUUGCCCCAGAACUUAGGAAAGAGCUGGCACAGACGGGCGCUCUGACUUCUGUUGAAUGGGCGACAGUCUGUUAAAUGUGCCUUGUGCAUCGAAAAGGCUCAGUGAGGCCCAGCCCUGCACCAUCAGCCUUGUUAUUAUUGAUGCUGCUGUUAUUAUUUACUUUUUAGUUGCCCCAGGGCAUGUGGCAUCU
rnacentral:lncRNA from 1 species